GACAGAUCCAACUAGAUGGGUCGAGGACCGGGCGGAGACUACACAUAGCUUGCCACCGAAUGAGCAAGGCGACCACCCAUUUCAGACGUAAAAGCACAGAGGAUAUGGUUGGAUGUUGUCGGUGGUCCUUAAAAGGGGAUAGCAUACGACCUUCCAGAUAAAUCAUUUCGGCGCUACAGGGCUGGAUUGCAAGGUAUAGGGACUUCGGCCCAAGGUAAGGCGAUUGAUAGGUCGGCUAUAUCGUCUAUGGAACAGAAGAUUCCAAAUAAAUCAUUUCGGCGCUACAGGGCUGGAUUGCAAGGUAUAGGGACUUCGACCCAAGGUAAGGCGAUUGAUAGGUCGGCUAUAUCGUCUAUGGAACAGAAGAUCGCAAAGCUGACAGUAGAGCUUGAAGAGACAAAGGCUAGAGAAAAAAGAAAGAUGAACAAUUUGGUACCCUUCAAGUUCAACUAGAAAGGAGGGACGAACAAUUUAAUCUCCUUCAAGGUCAGUUGACCAAUCUUCUUGCUAGUGGUGCUUUCCGCAUUCCCAGGUCUCGAGAGCCUUCCGCAUGUGCCGACGAUAAAGGUUCUAGGAGUUAAGAUGGAGAGGAUGAUAGAUAAAACAUUCAUUGAAUGUUGUGUAUUGCUAAACAAAGUAUUGAACUUGUCAAUAUUUUGUUGAAACUAAUUUUGAAUGAUGAUUGUAUUGCUAAACAUUUUAGUAGUUGUGGUUGUUAUUA